rnacentral:rRNA from 1 species
AUGGAGGCCAAGAAGUUGAGGGUGGCCGCCAUUGCCGCCCUGUGCGUGCUCCUGCUCGUGCUGCCCGGUCAGGUCGCCGCCAAGUCCGAGUUCUGCGAAUGCUACGAGGACUGCUACCGUCAAUGCAGGCACCACAUCCUGCGAUUCGCCUGCGUUCCGUUCUGUUCCAACAAGUGCAGCCCCAACCAGGCCGCCGCUGCGGGCGCUGCCGGUGGUGACCGCGACCGGUGCAGGGGGGCCUGUGCCAAAGUCAAAAUCUGUGGCCAGACGAAUCCGUCCAUGUUGGAACCCAAUGUUCUUCUUCUUAUGGUUUUGCGAUUUGCAGAGGACGAAUGCGAGCGUGGCUGCCUCUAG